rnacentral:rRNA from 1 species
GAUGAACGCUGGCGGCGUGCUUAACACAUGCAAGUCGAACGAUGAAGCCCAGCUUGCUGGGUGGAUUAGUGGCGAACGGGUGAGUAACACGUGAGUAACCUGCCCUUAACUCUGGGAUAAGCCUGGGAAACUGGGUCUAAUACCGGAUAGGAGCGUCCACCGCAUGGCGGGUGUUGGAAAGAUUUAUCGGUUUUGGAUGGACUCGCGGCCUAUCAGCUUGUUGGUGAGGUAAUGGCUCACCAAGGCGACGACGGGUAGCCGGCCUGAGAGGGUGACCGGCCACACUGGGACUGAGACACGGCCCAGACUCCUACGGGAGGCAGCAGUGGGGAAUAUUGCACAAUGGGCGCAAGCCUGAUGCAGCAACGCCGCGUGAGGGAUGACGGCCUUCGGGUUGUAAACCUCUUUCAGUAGGGAAGAAGCGAAAGUGACGGUACCUGCAGAAGAAGCACCGGCUAACUACGUG